rnacentral:rRNA from 1 species
UUUCCCUCCGUAUAUUCUCUGUCCUUCACACAAAUGUUGCCACCAUAUAUCUAUACCCUCUAAAGAUCGGUACACUUCCCCGCGACCCUCUGGGGUAUAUUCAUAAACGCCCGGCUAUUCCUCAUUGGGGUUGAGGGGGCGAACAAACUGCUUUUAACUAACAUACAAGAAAAAUUUAUCGCGAGGGUUACCCCCUACAGAUGUUCUAACAAAAACCCCACUUGCCCCAGUGAAAGCUAAGACUACGCUUACCCCUAAUUUUGAAAACCCCCCCCUGAAAACCACGAGCCACAGCUUAAAACUCAAAGGACUUGGCGGUGCUCUACACCCCCCUAGAGGGAGCUGGUUCUAUAAUUGAUACCCCUCGCUAACCUCCACCACUCAUUGCCGUUACCGCUUAUAUACCGCCGUCGUCAGCUCACCAUUUAAAUGAAGAAUAGUAGGCAUAAUGAUAAACAUAAAACCGUCAGGGUCAAGGGGUAGCGAAUUACGUGGAAAGAAAUGGGCUACAUUUUCUAAAUCAGAAAUCCAAAAAUUUUUGGAAACCCUUUUAAAGGGGGGUUUAGCGGAAAAAAAAAAAAAAGGGGUCUUUUUAAAAGGGCCAAAGAGCCGCGCCCCCCCGCCCGUCACCCUCCUAAAAAAACCUCUUUUUUUGUUUAAAAAACAUAAGGAAAGGGCUGGUUUACAUGGUGGGGCCCAAAACAAAGCCCAACUAGAGACAGGCCAGACAAACCUUUAACGGGCCGGGCCCCCCCUUAACGGGGCCGGCCCCCCUUUAACGGGGCCGCUCUCCCCUUUCUUCCUCCCUUUCCUUUCCCCUUCUCCCCCUCUCUCUCUCCUCCUCCCCCCCCUCCUCCCUCCCUCUUUUCCCUCCUUCCCCUCCUUUCUUCCCCUUUUCUCCCCUCCCUUCUCCCUUCUCUUUCUCUUUCUUUUUUCUCCUCUCUCCCUCUUCCUUUUUCCUCCUCC